UACGUAGGUGGCAAGCGUUGUCCGGAAUUAUUGGGCGUAAAGCGCGCGCAGGCGGUCUAUUAAGUCUGAUGUGAAAGCCCACGGCUCAACCGUGGAGGGUCAUUGGAAACUGGGUGACUUGAGUGCAGAAGAGGAAAGCGGAAUUCCACGUGUAGCGGUGAAAUGCGUAGAGAUGUGGAGGAACACCAGUGGCGAAGGCGGCUUUCUGGUUUGUAACUGACGCUGAGGCGCGAAAGCGUGGGGAGCAAACAGG
rnacentral:rRNA from 1 species